rnacentral:sRNA from 1 species
CGGAACCAAUUAAUUGCCCAACGGUUUCGGGAAGCGGGAAAGCUGGGUUCCCUCUGGGUUCUAAGCCAAGGUCCGCCAUUUGCAAUCCCUUUGGGUUAUUAAAGACGGCCCCCUUAGGGGGCCGUUACCCUUCCGGAAGGGCCCUUUUGACCCGACCCGCCCAAAAACCGAACGGUUGGCCCCGCCCCGGGGGGGGAAAGUACAAUCUGGCCAACGAAUUGCCUGGACUGAACCCCCCGCGAAGCGAGUUCUGGUUCGCAAAGCGCUUUCCCUUUUCAAACAAUUUCCACGGUGCUUUUUUAACUCUUCUUUUCAAAAGUGCUUAUCCAUCUUUACGAUCGCGUCUGACUUGUGAAACUCAUCGGUGUACUGGCCCCAAGAUUUAGGCUGUGAGAUGAAGAUUUAGCCCCCCAAUUUAGAAGAUGCAGUCCCCAUACAAGGUCGACUAUGUCGAAAGGAGCAUUCACACGGGUCGCGGACAGCUCCCUCCCAUAAGGGGAUUCUCACCGCGUAUAUGAUGUCCCGUUGACAGGGCACUUAGAUGGGGGGGCGCUCCGCGAAGCAUUCUAUACAAAUUACAAUGGGGACCCCGAAGGAGCCAGCUUUCAAAUUUGAGCGCUAGACGUCUCCCUCGCCGUUACUGGGGCAAUCCCCGGUGGGUUCCUUUGGAAGUAAAAAUCGUAACAAGGUUUCCGUAGGUGAACCUGCGGAAGGAUCAUUACCGAGUGAGGGCCCUCUGGGUCCAACCUCCCACCCGUGUUUAUUUUACCUUGUUGCUUCGGCGGGCCCGCCUUAACUGGCCGCCGGGGGGCUUACGCCCCCGGGCCCGCGCCCGCCGAAGACACCCUCGAACUCUGUCUGAAGAUUGUAGUCUGAGUGAAAAUAUAAAUUAUUUAAAACUUUCAACAACGGAUCUCUUGGUUCCGGCAUCGAUGAAGAACGCAGCGAAAUGCGAUACGUAAUGUGAAUUGCAAAUUCAGUGAAUCAUCGAGUCUUUGAACGCACAUUGCGCCCCCUGGUAUUCCGGGGGGCAUGCCUGUCCGAGCGUCAUUGCUGCCCUCAAGCACGGCUUGUGUGUUGGGCCCCGUCCUCCGAUCCCGGGGGACGGGCCCGAAAGGCAGCGGCGGCACCGCGUCCGGUCCUCGAGCGUAUGGGGCUUUGUCACCCGCUCUGUAGGCCCGGCCGGCGCUUGCCGAUCAACCCGAAUUUUUAUCCAGGUUGACCUCGGAUCAGGUAGGGAUACCCGCUGAACUUAAGCAUAUCAAUAAGCGGAGGAAAAGAAACCAACAGGGAUUGCCCCAGUAACGGCGAGUGAAGCGGCAAGAGCUCAAAUUUGAAAGCUGGCUCCUUCGGGGUCCGCAUUGUAAUUUGUAGAGGAUGCUUCGGGAGCGGUCCCCAUCUAAGUGCCCUGGAACGGGACGUCAUAGAGGGUGAGAAUCCCGUAUGGGAUGGGGUGUCCGCGCCCGUGUGAAGCUCCUUCGACGAGUCGAGUUGUUUGGGAAUGCAGCUCUAAAUGGGUGGUAAAUUUCAUCUAAAGCUAAAUAUUGGCCGGAGACCGAUAGCGCACAAGUAGAGUGAUCGAAAGAUGAAAAGCACUUUGAAAAGAGAGUUAAAAAGCACGUGAAAUUGUUGAAAGGGAAGCGCUUGCGACCAGACUCGCUCGCGGGGUUCAGCCGGCAUUCGUGCCGGUGUACUUCCCCGCGGGCGGGCCAGCGUCGGUUUGGGCGGUCGGUCAAAGGCCCUCCGAAGGUAACGCCCCUAGGGGCGUCUUAUAGCCGAGGGUGCAAUGCGACCUGCCUAGACCGAGGAACGCGCUUCCGCUCGGACCCUGGCAUAAUGGUCGUAAACGACCCGUCUUGAACACGGACAAUGGAGUUAACAUCAACCCAGGGUUCGGUGGCAAUCCCUGGCCCAAUGAAACGGAAGGAGGUGGGAACCUUCCCGGUGCCCAUCCCCCAUCCAGAACCUUCCGAGGAUUUAUAAAGACGUACCUUUGGACCCAAAAAGUGGAAAUUCCCCA